rnacentral:rRNA from 1 species
AGGCUAGGCAAUACCACCCUGAACAUGCCCAACCUCAUCUGAUCUAAGCAAAGCAGGGUCAGACUUGGUUAGUACUUGGAUAGGAGAAAGACAUCUAGGGCCCAGAAUU